ACCGGAGACAUUACUUUGCCGACUAUGGUCUGUCUAGCUAAGGCUAUGGUUUUUCCUGUGGUCAUGUAUGGAUGUGAGAGUUGGACUGUGAAGAAGGCUGAGCGCCGAAGAAUUGAUGCUUUUGAACUGUGGUGUUGGAAAAGACUCUUGAGAGUCCCUUGGACUGCAAGGAGAUCCAACCAGUUCAUUCUGAAGGAGAUCAACCCUGGGAUUUCUUUGGAAGGAAUGAUGCUGAAGCUGAAACUCCAGUACUUUGGCCACCUCAUGCAAAGAGUUGACUCAUUGGAAAAGACUCUGAUGCUGGGAGGGAUUGGGGGCAGGAGGAGAAGGGGACGACAGAGGAUGAGAUGGCUGGAUGGCAUCACUGACUCGAUGGACAUGAGUCUGAGUGAAUGCCAGGAGAUGGUGAUGGACAGGGAGGCCUAGCAUGCUGGGAUUCAUGGGGUCGCAAAGAGUCGAACACAACUGAGCGACUUAACUGAACUGAACUGAAUUUCCAACAGACGAUAACUUUUUCAUUUUAUAAAAGUAAUUUACACUAUAGAAAAGGCAAACAUGUUAAAAGCAUUUACGAUCCCAAAAACAAGAUCUGUAAGAAGAACCUGAGCCUUCCCAUUAAACGUGGAAUGUAAGCACAUUUGCCUUAUCUGUAUUUCCUCCUAAAAUGACAGCAGAGGAAUAUAAGAGACAAGAACUCACAAGGACAAACAGGAGAAGAAAAUGACAGCAGACAAGAGAUGUUGCAAAGUUGGGAAAGGAGGAAACAGGAUGGAUAAAAGAAACUUGUGACUCAACAGAAUGAAGCCGAUUAGCAUGAUCUGCGUUUCCAGGACAUCCUAGAGGCAGCCGUGAUACAUUUUGUGCCUGAGUGGAUUAUUUUGUAAGAAUGUUUUAGAAAAGGUUCCGCUACAUCAUCAGCAGAAAAGACUAUGAACAACUGGGAUCCCCAUUACCACUGCACCAUUGGAAACUGGAGAAAAUAGUUUGGACUAGUCUCUUUGAGAAACAGAAAGCGAGACAGACAAAGAAACAGAUGGCAUGCUACUAUAUGCAUGAGAUGUGAACUUUCAUCCUUCCUUGAGUUUUGCUGUUAACAUAUUCUUCCUGGACUUCCCUGGUUAUCCAGAGGUUAAGAAUCCACUUGUCAGCUCAGGGGACUCGGGUUCUACCUCUGGUAUACUGUGGAGUAACUAAGCCUAUGCGCCAUGGCUACUGAGCCCCCGCUCCAGAGACCACAAGUCGCAACUUCUGAGCCCACGUGCUGCAAUUACUGAAGUCCACGUGCCUAGAACCUGCACUCUGCAAGGAAAAGCCACCACAACGAGAAGCCCCUGUUAUGAAGAG
ensembl:lncRNA